GUACGUCCCUAGCACUACUGAAUGCCGGCUCACUAGGUCCACACUGUUAGCAGUGUGAUGCACGAACGGUGAACUGAACGAGAUGUUACAUGUACUUCCACAUUCUCCCUUCCAGGCUUCGAGUUUUGAGAAGCAAAGAGCCAGUCAGCACGCCUCUCAGAUACAGAUAUUAAUAUUAGGCGGUUGACACGUACGUUGCUGCUUUGUUUUGUCUGCUGGCGUUGUUGUCGCUCCUCUUUCGACAUUCGACCCAACGUCGGAUGUACUUUUGGGA
rnacentral:lncRNA from 1 species